GAGGGAGAAGGCGGUGCAAGACGAGAAGGGACCUCUUCCAGUACGAAGCUUUCGCCCAGGUGGAGAGGGCGGGAGGAGCUGCUUCUUUCAUUUCAUUUUCAUUUCAUUUCAUUUUAUUAAAUUUGUAUACCGCCCUACUCCCGAAGGACUCAGGGCGGUGAACAGGCACAAAAUAAAACACAUAAAUACAAAAGUAUUUGUAUUUGUGCUCUGCAGAUCGUGAUCACAACUGAUAGAUUUUCUCCAUGGCUGUCUGUCCUUAAACUGACCUUUUAGGUCUUCCAACAGCACCCUCAUAGCCACUGUACCUGAACCCAUCCACAUUGCUGCUGGUCAUCAUCAUCAUCUUCUAUUUCCUUCCGGUAUACAGUUGGAAAGACAGAAAGAGUUUUGUUUCUUUUUCUAACAUGUUCCUCUUACAAUUCAGGGAUGCAGCUGGCAAGACAGGUAAUGUAGAUAAAAUAAGUGAGAAUAUCCUGAGAAUUUUGAGAGGAAAAGGGAAAUCAACUGCAACGG